GGCAAGGCAUCAGCAGCAUUUAGCAAAAUGUAUUGAAAACAAGAGGAUGAAUUAUAUAUCAGACGAACAUCUUGGUAGUAACAAAAGGGUGGUGUGUGUGAGAGAGAAUUAUGACGUUGAUUGCAGCAGCCCCACUUGGGGCAGGAGUCUUUUCUAGAAAUACAGCAAAGCAUAAUGGACAUCUAACGAAUGCAGCGUUUUCUCCAAAGGUGACUGAGGGCCCUGGAAAAAGGUUCUACUUCUUCCAGUUGACGUUGAUGCCCAGAUCCUGCAGGAGUUGUAACACAUAGUGGAUCUGAGAAAGUAACCUUUCUGUCGUCCCUGGCCAGAAACCAGUCAUCUAAAUACGGAUAAACCACAACCACAACACAAGUGUGUCACCACCACAACCAUGACCUUUGUGAAUACACACGGGGCUGUUGACAUUCCAAAAGGGAGGGCUGCAUAUUGGUUUACUGCAUCUCCCACUGUAAAUCACAGAUAUUUGCAAUGAUUCUGUUAUAUUCCUAUGUGGAAAUACGCGUCUUUCAAGUCUGACAUCGCCGCCCACUCCUCCUUGCAUAGGAAAGGCAGAAUUCCUUGCAACAUCGUCAUUCUGAACUUGCAUGCCCACACAAACCAAUUCUGUCUGUGAAGGCCCAUGACUGUCCGGAUCCCCACAAUCCCCCUUUGGGAUUUGAAAAUAUCAGGAAUAAAAUCUGGACAUCCUCUCUAUCUACUGCACUGGAACAAUUGCCCUUUCCUCCAACAACACCUGCACUUCCUCUUGUAAAAUGAGUUCCCCUUGUGUAUUUUAUUCCUGAGAAUGGUGGCAUAGUUUUGAACUCUAAAGCAUAGCCAGUCUUGAUAAUUCUGAGUACCCACUGGUCUGCUGUUAUGUGUUGCCAUGCUCGGGCAUGGCUUGCCUGUUUGAUGGGAAUGUUGGCAACUACAAAGCUGAUGUUGUAUGCUUUGGCAGAUGGAUGGUUCGAUUGUAUUGAUUACAGUGGACGGCAGAUCAGAUCAAAGAGACUGCAUGUUCCGGUUCUUAGAUGGCCUAUUAUUCUGGGCGUUGACCGAAACCGUUGUUUCUUUAGUACGGCCUGCAUUGCCAUCUAAAAUCCUUUCGCUCAUGCUGUUUAAAAGGAGCACACUGUCUCCCAUAUGGUUGGUAUCGGGAUGUCGCAGUAGAUGCUGAGGUUGUGGUGAUGAAUGUCUUCGCUGUAUAUCUUUUAAAUAACUCCAUUGUAGAGUCUGUGCUUCCACUAAAUAAGCCCUUUCCAUCAUAGGCCAAAUUUUCCAUACAGUCACCUAUGUCAUGUUGAAGGUUCAUGGAUCUUAACCAUUCAUGACACCACAAAGUCACUGCCAUAGCCAUGGCACAAGAUUCAGUCUCAUCUAAAUGUUUAAAGGUGCUGAGCUGUUGCCUAGGACAUAUGUGGUUUUCUCAUAUACUUCAGCGAAUCUGUCCUGAAAUUCCUCAGGUGUCAAUGAAGUUGAAUCCUGUAGUAAUACAUCCCACAAGUAAUGGUUAUAUCUGGCUAAGCAGACUGCAUAGUUCGCUAUUCUAAUAGCCAAACUAGAGGUGGAAUAGAUCUUCCUGCCUAUAACAUCCAUUUUUCUUCCUUCCUCAUCAGAAGGCGUAUCAUGCCAGCUAACUAAGCAAAGAGGCAUCUUUCAGAGUGGUGAUUCUCUUAUAUUUAGCAGGGGAGAGCAACUGGCCAUCUCCAACCCCAGCACAGUAUCCAUCCAGUGGCUGUUGCUGGUAUUUGCCUCAUGUUUUUUUUUUAAACUGUGAGCCCUUUGGGGACAGGGGACCAUCUUCUUGAUCGAUUAUUUAUCUUUCUAUUGAAACCGCUUUGAGAACUUUGGUUGAUGAGCGGUAUAUAAAUAUUGUAGUAGUAGUAGUAGUAGUAGUAGUAGUAGAAGGCAUACUGUGGUGUUGAUCAGACCUCGAUGUAGUUGUGCAAUCAAUUACUAAAGCUUUUGGCACUGGAUAAUACAGAAGGUAUGUGUUGUCUUCCUCCUGUAUUCUAUAUAAGCUCUCUAGCUGCUUAGACGUCGACGUGGAGGUUUGCAGCACUUUCCAAGCAGACUGCACCACUUUUGUUAUUAUGGGAAGCAUUGGAAGUGCUACUGGAUGAGAUGUUUUAGCAGCCAUCAUCACGUUAUAAACCGGUCCUUUAAAUCCACCCCUGGUUGUUUAAUGUCCAGGCCUAAAGCCUCCAUCUCUCUAAUCUAAGCAUGAUAUCCCUUCAACUCCUCUGAAGGGAAAGCUGAAGACUUUGGAGGUACAGUUGAAGGUGGAUCCAGUUCUGAGGGGUGGCUAGUUACAUCUAAAUCAUUGCUUGUGGAAUCUGCCUAUUGUGGAAUAGCCAUCAUCACCUGCCUCUAAUGGAGGGGCUACUGGUGGUACUAUUUUCUUCUACUCCUUCUUCUUCUUUGGAACUCUAGGCUGAACAGGAGAUUGUUGAGGUGGCAAAGCAGGAGCCGCUAGAGUUUUCCUUGGCUUGGAGUACUUGGUUGUGGUGCAAGAGGUUGCACAGGCUGCCUUGAAUAGUCUGGCGUAUCAGGCUGUAUUUGGCAAGCAGUUGACAUAGUAGCAGCAGCCCUAGCUAUAGUAUGUUGCGGUACCUGCCUCUCUGGGACAAUCAACAGAGGAUGCUGUAAAUUUCUCUGUGCUUUCUGCAUCUGAUAUUCAGCAUAACCAUCUGGUAAUGCAACCAUAGGAGUAUGAUGAAAUCCACAAGUAUGUGUAAUUUCCCUAUGUCCGUGUUGGCAAGGCACACCCUGCUUCCAGAGUCCCUGUGAGCUUGCAUACUGUACAGGCAACUUACAAGAUAAAGAUGAUGCAGUUGUCAUUGCUGCAUCAUUGUAGUUCAAAAACAGCUGGAGGGCCAAGGUUCCCCACCCCUGCUCUACAGUAAAGUCUAUAUAGUCUCCUCUCUCUUCCUGUUGAUUUGGUGUUAGUCGAAGGGGAUUGUGCUGGUGUCUGCACAGGGGACAGCUGAAGUACUCUUCUUGGUGGUACUGCUGCAAAAGGAGAAUGUGGCAACGCUGUUGAUGUUGUGGUCGAUAGCAAAUGUGCCAUCGAUACUGAUGUCCACAUUGAGACCUGUAGCUGUGCACUCUGUUCCAUUGGUAUUGAUGUCAACAUUGUGGCUGCUUUCAGCAGCAAUGCUCUUGAUAUCAACACAAAAGGCUGUUCUCUCGAUGUCGAUAGCCCAGCUGCCGAUGUUGUAGGCAGGCUAUAGUCCUGUAAUGCAGUCAGCGAAGGAGUGGUUUCCUUUGACUUCAUUUUGCUUCGAUGUUUCUUUAGUGACAGAGAAUCCCUUUCCUCAUCUGAGGAGCGUCACCAUUUCUUAUUCUUAUGCUGAUAAGCUGGCUUUUGGACUUCCUUUGGCCAUUUGAAUUCUGGCUCUGAUCCUUCCACAGUGGUUUUAGACAGCAUAUUUGCAGAUCCCUGCAUGCUCAGUGCUGAGCCUGGCAACACUCCCGCUCUCAAUGUCGAUGCCAAGAUCGAUGCUGAAACCAAUGCCAAGGGAUAACUUGGCCUCGGUUUUGGUGGAUGGAGCGCCUCAUCAUAUAAUGCUGCGGCUAUACAUAGCGCCUAAUUCUUUAAAGUUUGUUUUGAAAAGGAGCAGCCUAUUUUGAACACUGCUGUAUUGUGCUGCUCUCCUAAGCACAGGAGACAUGAUUCAUGGUGGUCCGUCGACGGUAGUUUAGCUCGACAAGCGCUUGAAAGUCUUUUUAGUCUCCAUUGUCGGCUAAGGUGCACCCCAAGGCUAAAGCCUCGUGGCUCCAAACACAAUAAAAUCCAAAAUACCGUAUCCAGUACGUUAAACAUUAGAAUAGUCAAAAAUAGUCCCAGUCCAAAAAGAGUUAAAAAAUCAAUCCUAUCUUAUAUCUCUCUCUGACGAAUUUAGAUGCACUGAGGAGCCAGCAACAAGGUGUUGAUGAUUUGGCAGUCAAAUAGAAACUGAGAAAAUGUGCCCGCAACUGCCAAUUUCAACAGAAGCACAGAGCACAUACAGGGCAGAGUGGGCGUCAUGAGGAGCUAGUCAGUCUAUCUGUGAGGUCCCUGAGCAGGUGCAGAACCCAUUCCUUAUGAAUGCAACAGAUCACCAGAUCCUGAAGAAAUCUUCAAAAUAUAUAAAUAUUUUAUAGAUACAUAGGGUCACACAGGAAAGAAAGAAGUGCUACUCCAGUCUUUACAAUUAGCUCACCUCAUAGCCCAGUAGGUAAGAGGCCUGAGCAUAUAACUCAUGAGCAAUACCAUAUUGGGGUUGGGGGUGGGAGGCACUGCUUUCCAGUGGUUCCGCUCCUACCUCAAGGGCAGAUUCCAGAUGGUGUCUCUUGGAGACUGUUGUUCUUCAAAAUCUGAACUUUUGUAUGGUGUCCCUCAGGGCUCCAUAUUGUCUCUGAUGAAGUUUAAUAUCUACAUGAAACCACUGGGAAAGAUAAUCAGGGGAUUUGGUGCAGGGUGAUAUCAAUAUGCUGAUAACACCCAAAUCUAUUUCUCCAUGUCAACAUUAUCUGGAGAAGGCAUAACCCUCCCUAAACGCCUGCCUGGAGGCAGUAAUGGGCUGGAUGAGGGAUAACAAACUCAGGCUGAAUCCAGAUAAGAUGGAGGUACUUAUCGUGCGGGGUCAAAACUCAGGAGAUGAUUUUGAUCUGCCAGUUCUGGAUGGGGUCAUGCCCCGCCAGAAGGAACAGGUAUGCAGUCUGGGGCUGCUUCUGGAUCCGAACCUCUACCUUGUGUCCCAGGUUGCGGCGGUGGCCAAAGGUGCUUUUUAUCAGCUCCGGCUGAUACGCCAGCUGUGUUCAUUUCUUGAGAUGAACGACCUCAAAACAGUGCUACAUCUGCUGGUAACCUCUAAGCUGGAUUACUGCAAUGCGCUCUGUGUGAGGCUACCUUUGCACAUAGUCUGGAAACUGCAGUUGGUUCAGAACACAGCAGCCAGGUUGGUUUCUGGGUCAUCUAGGAGAGACCAUAUUACUCCUGUGUUGAAGGAAUUGCACUGGCUACCGAUACGUUUCUGGGCAAAAUACAAGGUGCUGGUCAUUACCUAUAAAGCCCUAAACAGCUUAGUCCCUGUGUAUUUAAGCGAACGUCUUCUUCGCCAUGAGCCCCACCGCCUGCUAUGAUCAUCUGGAGAGGUUCGCCUGCGGCUGCUGCCAACUCAUCUGGCAGCUACUUGGGAACGGGCCUUCUCCACUGCAGCCCCUGGACUUUGGAAUGCGCUUCCUGCUGAAAUAAGAGCCUCCCCAUCUCUGGCAACUUUUAAAAAGGCACUGAAGACACAUGUAUUCGCCCAGGCUUUUAAUUAGAUUUAUAAUUUUAAAUAAUUUUAAUACUGGGUUUUAUAUGUUUUUAAUCUUUUAAAUGGUUUUAAUUGUUAAUUGAUUUUAUGUUAAAUGAUUUUAAAUUGUAAAGUGCCCAGACAUGCAAGUUUUGGGCGGUAUAGAAAUAUUUUAAAUAAAUAAAUGAAUGAAUGAAUGAAUGAAUAAAUAAAUAAAUAAAAUG